GCACAUGGAGCUCUGCUGGGAGCACACAGCUGAGGAAUCUCCACGUGUUUGGAGAGCCCUGCCUUUCCAUGCCUCUCCCAAGAAGACAUGGAUCAGGAGCCAGCCAGGAGAGGAUCUGGGGAUGUAGUAGGGACAGAUCCAGCAGCCCCAACUUGUGCUUGCCCGUCUGGAAAUCAGUGGGAGCUGUGCCUGCAUGGGAAAGAGCUGCAGGACCACGAUCAGGAGUGGCUGACAUGAAAUGGGGCUCCCUGCUUCGGUCUGGGAGAGGCCAGAAAAACAGAGGCCACAGCAUGCUGCACAGUUUGCAAGUGACACUUGGUGUUAGCCAAAAUACACAUCAAUACAAAGGAGGCGUGUGUGGUCAAAGGCACAUUCCUUUACCACACUAUUACUGUAAUAUCCCACUGCCUCCACAUUAAUUUGUUCCCAGGAAAUUCCAUCAUCACUAUUUCAAGCUUGUGGCUGUUCAAGCCACUCAGGAUGAUGGGAAAUUACCCUGCUCAGGAAAACAGAAUAAUAAAAGCAGUGAUUAAAUUUGC